rnacentral:rRNA from 1 species
GGCGAACGCUGGCGGCAGGCCUAACACAUGCAAGUCGAACGAAGCCUUCGGGCUUAGUGGCGGACGGGUGAGUAACACGUGGGAACGUACCUUUUGGUUCGGAACAACUCAGGGAAACUUGAGCUAAUACCGGAUGAGCCCUUAGGGGGAAAGAUUUAUCGCCGAAAGAGCGGCCCGCGUUAGAUUAGCUAGUUGGUGAGGUAAAGGCUCACCAAGGCUACGAUCUAUAGCUGGUCUGAGAGGAUGAUCAGCCACACUGGGACUGAGACACGGCCCAGACUCCUACGGGAGGCAGCAGUGGGGAAUCUUGCGCAAUGGGCGAAAGCCUGACGCAGCCAUGCCGCGUGAAUGAUGAAGGUCUUAGGAUUGUAAAAUUCAUUUACCAGGGACGAUAAUGACGGUACCUGGAGAAAAAGCCCCGGCUAACUUCGUGCCAGCCGCCGCGGUAAGAC